UUCUCUGGGCAAUCUGUGCCAGGGCCGCACUCACCUCACAGGGAAGAAUUUCUUCCUAACAUCUUAUCAAAACCUCCCCUCUGCCAGUUUAAAGUCCACCAAGUAAAACACAAAUCUGUAAGAGGAGAAUAAAUCUCUGCAGACCAGUGCCCAGAACUCUGUUACAAAAGGGUUGCUGAGGUACCUCUCAGUGCCUCUCACAGCGAGUGGGUGACAACCACAUUUCUGUAGGUGAUAACACACAACACUGAUGCUGCUCUUAAUGAUUUACAGGAAUUGCUGAAAUAGGAGGGAAAUAUAAUUUACUUCUUGACAAUUGACAGCAAAUCAGACUUAAAUUGUCCUAGAUGCAAGUAGGCUGGUAGAGAAGCAAGCAAGAAUUUUUUGUGUCUUUUCUAUAUGUUAGGGUUUGGGGGUUUUUUGUCUCUUGCAAAGCUAAGUAGCAAAUUCUCUCUCUUCUCUUCCAUUAUUUCCUACUUAAUUUUAGGUUCCAGUUUUGGCCUUGAGCAGUAACAGUGUUAUCAGAGAGCAGUGCCUUGGACUCAUGGAGGCGCUCAGAAAAUAUUGGUGCCAUCUUCCAUAAAACAUUUUAAACACAUGCUAUUUGUUUUUAGUCUCCCUUCUGGUUUUACACCCCACAAAGAGGACAUUUAAUAUGUACAAUAGAAUUAAUAGGCAUGCAAUGUAAGCAGGACUUACAUUCAAAAUACACUUCCACAAAACAAAGGAGCAGCUGUGAAAAUGUAGAGUCUGCUGAAAAUUUUCUACUUGGGUAUCACAUUUGCUAAAAGAUUUACUCUGCAAAGUUUUAUCUAAUUUCCCAUUCAUUCAAUUAAGGGGAGAGAUAAAUUCCCAGAUCCCAAGAGAUUAGGGGAAGCUAUGUUUAGCUCCCCCCUCACACUUAAGAUCAAGACCAUGUUCAGUUUCAUGAUUAUCACUCUCAAGCUUGUGCUUAUAGGCUCUGUGCUGCUGAUAGAUGAACACCUCCAUCUUCCCCCAAAACCAGAGGGAUUUGGAAGUGCUCAGGAUGGCAAAGAUCUCUCCAGAUCAGGAGGAUUCGAACCACAUGGGACAAAAUACCCCAUUCAGCAAGGCUACAGCAACUUAGUUAGGAUUGGGUUUUGGGCAACCUAAACCCAGGAGUAGGUGUCCCUGCCCAUGGCAGGGGGGUUGGAACUUUGGAACUAGAUGGUCUUUAUGGUUCCUUUAAACCCAAACCAUGCUAGGGCUGUACAGUUCUAUGAAUGGUCUUUCAGCUUUCCGGGGAGGAAUGGGCAAAGCUCAUGGGUUGCCAGGUCAAACAGUUCAGAGCAAGAAGAAAACACCCACCAAAAUCUCUUAGAAAUUAAUCAAGUGUUAAAGCUGAGGAAAACCAAUCAAGUGAAAUUAGUCAUUUUUGUGCUGGUAUUUGUGUCUCGUAUCCUUUAUCAACUUGCCUAAGCAAAGGCAGCAAUAUUUUUUGAACAAAAUCAGAAACACUUACCAAUGUUUUGUUGAAAAUCAGUCCAGAAUUCUGCUUUUAGUCUUUGGGGUAGUUAUUCUGGAGUCAGCUAUCCAUUUAAAGGUAAACUAUGGAUCUUGUGGGUGACAAAUGGGUAGAAAGGUUGAGCAUGGACACACUCAUCCCAAAAAACACUGAGCUCUGAAGGAGAUUCCUGGCCAUCUUAUGCAUUAGGAGAAGGCACAGCUGAAGUGUUCCUAUGUCCCACCACACAGUCAGUGGUUGGGAGUUGUUGGCAGCACCAACAAAGAGCUGCUCUGACUUUAUGAACUAAAUGUAACAAUGAUUCUGGGUUGCAAGAGUUUUUCAGGCUAUUUACACCUCCCAUGCUUCUAUGGGUAAUGGGGAUGGGCAAUUCCAGCACCCCACAGACCAAAUGGAAAUUGAAUUUCCUGUAGUCCUGGUAGGCAAGGUGUCCUCAGACCCUCUUGUUCCAAGCACCAAUGAACAGCAGGACUGUAGAGCAGCAGCUCCUUUAUUCAUUCAAGGCAAGGCAUCUGGCAGCAGGUUUGAUGAGACCAUUACCUCUCACAUUGAUCUGCAUUGUCUCAGUAAGUUCUUCUUUUCAUCUGUUUGGUGUCUCUAAACUUCUGCUUGGAUUGAAAAUUGAGGAUAAAAAAAUCUUGUUGGUGAGGGUUUUUUUCCCUUUAAAAGCACAAUAAUCCACAAAUAGUCUGUAGCAACUGUGAUAUUUCUCCUCCUGCUGCUGCAUCUACCACUGUAAUUGGAAUUGAACCUCUGUUGCUACCUUGAUGGAGAAUUAAUUUCCAAAAACAUCCUCAGGUAUGGAGAAGUUUGCAGAUUUGAGCCUCAGAUAACAAACAUGGUUGUUUAACAAGCACUAAUAUAAAAUGUAAGUUCCUUCAUGUUUCAAAGCAGGAAAACUUCAGGACACUAAACAGACUUUCUUGGAUUUUGAUGUCUGUAAAAAAACCAAAGAAAACAAGGCAAAUGUUGGAAAAGACCAAAGAUAUUAUUCUAAAUGUUACCAGAAAUUUCUGAUUAAACAUUUGUGAAUACACUGCCUGGUUUUAAUAAGCUUGAAAACAUCAUCACCAAUUAACAGAAUGAUGCUGCAUAGUCAAGGAAGGGUAAUUGUGCUCAUUAUAUUGCCAGAGAUGCAGCUGAUCAAAAAGGAAAACACUGUUUUCCCUGAAGUUCCUUUGCAGUCUUUAGGUGGAAUCAGCACUGAGUUCACAGGCACUAAUCAGCCAAAGGGCUUCACACAGGAGCUGCUCACCAACCAUUAAGACUAGUGGAAGGUCUCCCACUGGAUGUGUGUAUCUCCUUUUCCAAGGCUAUCCAUGUUUUUUUGCCAUUUCACCUGAAAUAGCCACGUUUAUCCCUCAAGAAGCAACACCAGCCUCUGGUCAUUCUGCAUUGUGGAGGGGAAGCGUUGAGGGGCAGCAGGGGGCACGAACAUGUCUGCAAACUGCUUUUUGGAGGCAAAAUAUCCCUGUGAAUUUACUUGGAAAGAUGAAUAUGGUGGAACCCUGUUACUACAAAAAGUGAAAAAGCUAUUUAUUUUUCUACAGUGACAUAAUUAUAGUCAUCCAAGAAUGUGAGAGAGGCAAUGUCUGCAGGCAGAUGGUAAAAGUUCAGCUGACAUACCUGAAAAUAGGACAAACCAUUUUCACAACAAAAAUUGUCGUUUUUCUAAUCCAAAGCUGGGAUUCUCAAGUUUGGCUUUCCCACUACUGUCUCUUUCCAGGAUGGGACAAACUCUCUGGACCACCCUGAAAAAUUGCAACUCCCUCUACAACCAAAGGUCAUACGCAACCCAUCAGUGGUGACUCUAUAAAGGAAUUGCUGGCUUUGUUUGGGCCUUGCUCUGCAUAUGAACAAGCACUUCACCCAUUCCCCUCACCCUGGCCUCUCAUUUCCAUAAUUACCUGCAUUUAUUGCUUACUGUGAAUAUGAUGCAUUUAAUGCCUCAAUUUAUUCAAACAGGGCCUGCAGCUGUAGGUGCUGCGCUGCACCUACAGGUUUCUUUAAUGGAUUGGUGCUUUCUUAGCCAGUGUAACCAAGCACCAGUUCCCUCCAGGGAUACACAACAGCCUCUCCUCCAAACCAGCAAACUGUUGCUUAUGACAAUAUUGCUUAGUGAUGUCUAUUUUUUAAGAAAUGUGGGCCAAUAUAGUGCCUGCACCCACAUUUUCAACAGAAAGCCCCGUGGGUUUGAAAUACAGCUCAUAUUUAACCAUCUUCCAGUGCCAUGUCUUUUAAAGCUCUGUUUCUGAAAAAGAUUUUCUUUGUCUCAGAAAAAAGAAAGUUGCUCCUUCUGCAAAACUGAUUUUUUAAUUUAUAGAGAACCUUUUAAGUUUUUAAGCUUUGUGGGGAAGUGUUCUGCAUGAGAGCCACAUGUGCAAGCAUGCAGUGCAAUUUUUAAUAUUUCAUGAAGGUACAGAGAGAAGACAAAAAAGGGAUUGCGACGAGGUUCAGCACCAAACUCAAUUCUGCAUCUCAGCAAUAAUUCACCAAUGUAGUUCCAUCAAGGACUCACAUCAGCUCAGUCUGGAGAAAGAAAGUUCAAGGAAAAGGCUCUGAGCCUUUAAGCACAGAUUCCUUCCCUGAAGAGUCAGGAGGCAGCAAUUAAACUCAGUUACAUCGGGGUGAACGUGCCCUCCCCGUGCCCAGCUCAGGGACCACACACGCGCCCGGCGACUCUCGGGGGGUGAAAUGUGUCCUGCUCUGGCCGGGUCAGUUAUAGCCAGCAACUCUUUGAGGUUUUGGCUUAAAGGUGCAGCCCUGUGAAAUCCUCGGGGAGACAAUCCUGCCCCAAGUUGGCUGUCGUGAUGAAGUUGCCCCUUUUGGAGGACGCGGGACAUCGACCCAAUUUGCACAGACCCUCGUCAUUAGCAUAGACCCAUUUCAAGAGAGGUCUUUGAACACCAGUUGCCUCCAAAUUCCAUUACCUCUCUCCCUGCUGGGUUUUGUACUUUAAGUAUCAGGCAGGGGCUAGGAGAAGAAAAGAAAAAGAAAAAAACCCAGUAAGUGAAAUCCUAAGCCCAAAUAAUUAGACGUGUUGUGGUUAGUUCUCUAAACUCUUACUUAUUGCUUUUUCUCCGUUUGACAGAAUAUAAUCUGCUUUUUUUUUUUUUUUCUUUGACACACAGGUCAGUUAAUCCAGAGGUUCCUAAGUCUGAAUGAGACAGAGAGAGCCAGGCAAACACCAACUUUUUAUGUGUUUGUCACAGCACUUCAUCUUUGUGUGCAGCCUCAUCUGAGGUACAAGCAAAUUUCAGAGUCAUCCUUGCUUGCAGGUACUCUGAGAAUCAAAAUUCAGUUGGAGAGGGAAAAACAAGCAGGAUGUCUUUGCUGUCUGGCAGAUAAGCUUAAGGGUAACAAUAAUAUCUCAUCCUUUGAGAGGGAGGCUUGGGGUUGCUGGAUAAUUUUAAGAGGAAAACUGCUCAUAGAAAAAUGCUGUGUGGACAGAGGAGAGUUUUAGCUCUACACUGAAAGGUAGCAGACAUUUUUAUUUUCAUUCAGAGGUGAAGAUCCAGCCCUGGCCUGGCAUGGGGGGCACUCAUUUCUUUUGAAAAUUAGAUUGUGAGUGCAGGACAACUGAGGGAGUCCUGCUGGUUUGAUUGCUCAAAGGUUUUUUGUUUCUUUGUGUUCAGAAGUGAAUAUUGAAUCUUGUUGUCUAGAAAAUAGAAGGGGAAAAGGUUAUUUCUGCUAAAUAUCCAACACCUGGAUGCACUCCACCAUCAUUACUCUCCACAAGUGAGAGUACCAGCAUUCAAUGCCUGUAAAAACUUAUUUGAAGGUAGGACAUAGCAGCCAAAGCCAGCAGAGUUUCCACACAUGGAGUAAAGUUCUGCUGUUAUGGGAUCUUCAGCUGAAAUUCACUCUGAUCAGGCCACAGCAUGAACUACAGCAGGUGAACUCACCACGGGGCUGCACUUGCAGAGCUGUUCUCUCUUCACUCCUUUUCUUUUCUGUUGGCUGCAUUGGUUGGGUUUUCUUCAGAAAGAGAAUUCUUACUUGGAGUGAUUUGUGUAAAAAAGAAAGUCAGGUUGAAAAAUACACAUGGAGUAGAAAGGAGUGAGGUCUGUGGUGCUCAUUUCUUCUCCAGGGAUCCAAUUUUGUCCUGGCUUUCGAGGAAGCUCUAUCUUCUGCAGGGCCAGGAGUUGGACUGGAUCCUGGUGUGUCCCUUCCAACUCAGGACAUUCUGUGAUCUCCCUCCCGAAUUACACAGGGCUCCAUGAUUCAGAGGAGCAAAAUUCUUGAGGAUAGACCUUAGAGGUCCUUGAGUGGUAUUUUUUUCACCUUUUCCAUGGCUUGUUAGAUCUUGUCAACAAAGAAUAGACUACAAACUGGAUUUUAAAUUCUCUGAAAAGCCACUUGAAGGGCAUUUGGGACAAUGCAAGGUGACGUUACCUGAUGGCAUUUCCUACUAGCUGCAGUUUUCCAAAAGCUGAUGGCUUUCUACACAAUUCUCUCAGAGUGCUGCGGUUUUCCUGCAAAAUGACAAAAUACUGCAGGGACAAGGUGAGGUCACCACCAGAGGAGACAGGACAGAGUCUGUGAGCUGGAAGGAAACAACAGAGGAUAUUACUGGCACAUGCUGCUGUGGAUGAGAUUACUGUCAGGGAAGACUGAGCUGAAUUGACACCUUCAACAAAAAAAGAGACAGUGCUACAGCUACACAGUCUUUGAAAUCCUUUCCUGUGAGCAGCAGCAUUACCUCUGCCUCACUAAGAUUCGGCUUCAAUGAGCUCUUCUCCCUCUGUGAGGCUGUCCUGAUGUGAGGGAUGUAGCUCAGUGUGGGGGCAAAUGGGAAAGGCUGUGUGUGUUAUCUGAGCUGCUGGCACUCCAAGUGAUGUUGCCUAAUCAGGUUAUCUUUAGGUUCCACGGAGAUGCUAAAAGAGGCUGGAGAGGAGCGGAUCUAUGGGAGACUCCACGAACAAAGGACUUGGAGGCGCGGCUUUAUUUAGUCCGUUUUAGGAUUUCGUCCUGCAGCCCUGACACCUGUUUGCCACGAGAAGCCAAGCCCACAUGGUCUCCAAGAUCAAAACCAGUACUGAAACUGGAAACUUGGCCUUGGGAGUCCCACUCAGCCACUGCUGGUGGAGAAGCACUGCUGGGUGACAUCUGUCAUCAGCCACGGCUGAGCUCAAAUAUUCAGUUCCUAGCAGCAAGAUGUGCUUUAAAGAAACAAACAAAACAAGGAAAAAUCCUUCAAAGAAUUCUCCAAUAGCAGUUCCAAGCAGAAGUGAAUUUGAGAAAAUUUUAUUUAUUUUUUCAGCCACUCCCCCAACAGAAAAUUUUUCAUCAAGUAUCACAUGAACUGAGCUCUGCUCAGAUUAGUUGGAAUUGCAAUGUGAAAAAUGUCAGGCAGCAAUUCUGGUCUAUUUGUGGUUUGCAGCACUUGUCCAGACAGAGGAUUUUAGGUGGUACUUAAAUCAAGAGAAAACACUUGAUAGAAACAUGGAUUUUGACACCUAAAGACAGAUGUAUAAAGAAGCAAUGCCUCAAAAACUCAGCCUGAGAAAUUCUAGAAACAAGGUAAAUAUUUUUAAUACUGAAACUAAUUAACUCCAGUGACAGAAAUUCAGCAAACUGGGGAACUGUCUAGCUCUCGAGGUCUUCAAAUCAGGAAUGGACUUUUUAACAUCACAGAAUGGUGAACUUCAGUCUGCUUUUUAAAUUAAUAGAAAGAUCCAGUGUGGGAUAUGCAGUUUGUCAGUGUAAGGACCACCCAGACUUAAAAUGAUGACUCCAUGAAAUCAAAGGGGUGCACAGGGCUCUGCCACUGCCUUAUGAGAUGGACCAGUUUGUCCCACAACUCUAAAGCUGGGCUCAAUGAUUGUUUAAGGACUGGACUUGUUUUAGGCUGAACCUGAAGCUCUUGGGAAGCUCUCUACCCCAGAAGGACAGAUGAUAUAUUAGAUGUGUCCCCGCUUUGAAUUCGCUGUGAGGAGAACCAACACAUCAAACCAGCAGCACACGAGGCUUUCUCAGCAUCCUGCUGCCUUUGACAGUGUCCAGCACCUCGUUUUAUCGCUCUGCUGGUUUCACAAAUUGACCUUUCUCCCUUCCCUGCUCUGUGAUUCAACCUGGGCAACAGCUUGAAACAGGCAGGCUGAAUUUUAAUGCGCUUUGCCCUUGUGUUGUUUCAUCUCAUAAAAAUGUCCUCAGCUCACGACAAACACCAUGAUGAAAACUGAUGGCUUGAGAUGAAAACUGAUGGCUUGAGAUGCAAACUUUGACCCACAGCGACGGCCCACUAUGGCACCAGCCGGGGAAAAUUCCAAGCAAAACCCUUCCUGACAAUGAGCACUAAAGGAACAGCAUUCCAGGGAGGAACUCACACUCGAGGCUGACAACUCAGCGAGAGAUUAAAAAGGAGAGAGUGAAUUUUUAAUGACCUGGAAUGCUCUGGAAGAUGCACCUGAUGUAAGCACCAAGAGUUUACAAUAAGGAAUGGGAACCUGGUGGAGCCCAAAUGCUCGUGAAGCUCUAAUGAAGAGAAAAAAUUAAGUAAUGUUGUACUGCUCCUUCAUUGCAUAUGUUGAUUUUAAUUAUGUCUGGGGCAAAUUUAAGAAGGAAAACUUCGGCUGAGCUUCUCUCUGUGUUCUGAACACUUUUUCUGGGAUGAUGAUUUCUGCUCAGUUAUCCUCUCCAACCCCUUUUGCUUUGACACCAUAGAAUCCAGGAAUGGUUUGGGUUGGAAGGGACAUUAAAGAUCAUCCCAUUCCACCCCCUGCCAUGAGCAGAGACACCUUCCACUAUCCCAGGUUGCUCCAAGCCCCAUCCAGCCUGGCCUCCAGCACCAUCAGAGCUGUAUCAAUUCCCCUUUAAAUAAAUUUAGACUCUCAGUGCUGUCUAUCCACACCACCAGUGCAGGGCCUGGCCUCGGAUCUUGUCCCCUUAAUUACACAAAGUGUGACUUCAACAGGUGCCUGAUAAAUAAAGGAAAAGAGAACAAGGACUGUGUUUCCCUCAGCAGAUCCAGAAGUUGCACCUUAGAGGGUCACAGCUCUGCUGAACUCUUGUCCCAUUAAUUUGCCUUUCCUUACCAGACACUUGAACAGGAUUUCCUGCACCUAUUGAGCCACUUGCUGGAGUCCUUCACCCAAAGGCAGGAAGAUGACAAUUUUUUGAAGUCAGGAACCAGAAGGAGCCCACCUGACCUCCAGCAGAGCCAGUGCAAAAUUCCCUGACUCGGCAUCCAGAGUCCUCAUCCAUCCCUGCCAAACCAGACCCCACACAUCUGUCCCACCUAACGGGGAUGCUGCAACUCACAUUUUAAUCUCACUUUUCUAAAAACCCAGAUGUCUCUGCAGCUCAGAGCAGAAGCUGAAGGUGUUUUGUAGGGCUGAAGACCGAUGGUGUUGUAACAAUCAAAAGCACCAAGACCCCGACAUCUCAGAGAGGGCACCACUGACCUGCCCAAGAGCUCUAGAUGGAUUAUUAAGGUUUCUUGUGGACAUUUGACCAUGAGGGUACUUGGCUUUUCUUCCCACUACCAGCUUCUUCCCUAAGCCCUAGCAUUUAUUGAACUCUCUUUUCUUACAAGGAAAGAAAAAGAAAAAAAAAAAAAAAAGAAAAAGAGGAAAAAUUGUACAAAAAAGUAAAUCCUGCUUUUGUUCUGGAUAAAACUAGGUCAGCAUUUUCCAUCCCCACUGUCAGUUUUCUGCAGUGUGUUUCAGACAAAGCAUCAUCAUUCCAGCAAAAGGUAUUUAUAAAGUGAGCUUUGACAAAACAAUUGUAUUUUUUUUUCUUAUUCCAGAAAGGCUUUGGCAUCUGUCACUGCCAGGAAAGAUUUAAGAUCUAGGUAGAAUUUUCAUCUCUCAGAAUAACUUGGCCUAUAUUGACUAGAGCUAAUAGAUCUGAUGUUUUAAAACCCCUUGUGCAGCAAAGCACUGUAAAUUACAGAUGUUUAGAAAUUUCCCUCCUCCAUGGAAAAUUUACACUGUGAAAAGUAUAAAUGUUCCCAGGAUUUAUUUUCACCUGGCACCCCCACAACCCCCCCAGUUCUUUUGACUCAGAGACAAGAAUAUAGUACCACAAGGAAGCUGGAAGAUGCCAAAAAUAGUACCCCAUGGGACAAGGAGGAUGCCAAGAACACAGACUACUGUGGACAGGGGGCAUGGCAGAGGUUUAGCUCAAAGAAAUAAGAGAGAAUUUUCAGCAGAAAUGGGGAAAAAGACAAUUUUUUUUCAGUUCUUCUUAAUUUUCAACCAAUUGGUAAACCCAGACCCUCUUCCACCCACAUUUCAGUGCAAUUAGUCACAGAAAAAAUGAAAAAUAGCGACAUUUGAAAUUUAAAACUAAAGAGAAAAAUAUCUGUAAUUUUCUUGCCAUCUUUUUCAACAUGCACAUAAUCAGGGCUAGUUAAGGCUUAUCAUGCACACACAGAAUAUUCACUCCAGGGCAUUUACUCCAUUGUGGGGACACAUAACCCACUGCAAAGGCAAUGUCUCCACUUACCCCACUCUUCCCUCUUCAUUAGGAAUGUGCUGUGACCAGGAAUAUCAGAGCUCCUUACCUGUCCAACGAAAGAGGAUUUGGAAGUAUAAGGUGCAGCUGGGGCAGACACUUAGCAUCAGUUCUCCGGUCAGAUCACCCCUUAAAAACAAAUAUAUGAGAGAAUCAUUCCCUGUUGAUACGUAAAAUAGGCACAGAAGGUCUUCAUCAGGGACAGACACAACAAGAAAAGGACUGAAAGGCCCAGAGCCCACUUAGAGCCUGAUGUCUCAUUAAUGAAAUGGGGAUACAGGACUGAGCAGCAAGAUGGGAAGUGCUGGAAAGCAGAGACAUGCACGAGGGAGAAGCACAGGAAAAAGAAGAGAUGGAUGAAAGAUCACAGGGCUGAAGUCAAGGGGUUUAUCUGUAGAACCAUCAGUGAAGGCAUCACCGUCAGGUCUGAAUUUUCACCAAGGUUCUUGGAUAGAGUCAGAGGAGAUGGAGAGAGAGAGGACAUGCUGAGGGAAUUUCAGGACAUCCCACAGCUCUGGAGACCAGGCUGGAGCCAAGAUAGAACCACAAACUAGUUAAUCCCAAAAACUUCAAGUGAACUGUCCUAAGCCAAACCAGAAAGCAUUCCUGCAGCUCUCUAAUAGCUCAGCACUGCUCACAGUAGCCAUGGCACAUCCAGCAGAAGAGGGAAGUUAGUCACUAAAUCAAUAUUAUGUCAAAUCCCGAGUCCACCUGAGUCUGAUUCACCUCAGAAACGCAGUUCCCAUGUCUUCAAACAGAGCCAAAGUCUUUACAGGAAAAAAGUCUUUGCUUCCCUGGGCGUUGUGAGCAAGUAAAUAAGUCUAACAAAAUCCAAACACAAUUUGGCAGGAUAUAACACUUGUUGGAGAUAAUCCUACCUGCUGAAAUUUCCUUUUAACCUCAGUGAAGGGUCUGGUAGAUGCUAAGUAUAAUCAGGACAGAUACCAAUUCUCUCCCACUGGAAAGCAGAGUGAACAGACUUCAAAAUAUUUUUCUUUCAUGUCACAUCAGCAAAGGAAAAGUUUUAGAAAUAGCUACUUUGGGCUUUUUCUCCUGAAAAGUAACCUGGGUGAUUUUGGUCGGGUAAGUUCCCUAUGGUAAUAACAACAUCACCCUUAAUAAUAUAACAUACACGUAACCCUGAGAACGUGAAAUUCAGUGUUCUUGGGUACAUUGUGUGAUUCUUGGGCUGUGCUGGGCAAGGCCAGGAGUUGGACUCAAUGAUCCUUGUGGGUCCCCUUCAAUCCAGGAUACUCUACAACUUUAUGAUUCUAUGAAUUAAGCCCAAACUUUUCAGGUGAUGAAGAAACAGAAGGUUCCAAAGUAGAGGGAAUUGCAGAUUCCCACAGCAGUAGUUGAUCUGAUUUCUCCUGGAUCCAUGAUGGGUUGGGAAUGAUCACAGACAAAGCCGUUGUUGAUGGUUUUUGCCAGUUAAAAUCCCCUCACUACAACUUCUGCCUUGACACCCAGCUUGAAAAUGGCUCUCAGGUACUACAGGAUGGAGAUGACUGUUGUGGUCAUCUGAAGAUGCAAACAGAGAGUCCCAAGACCCCACAAAGACAUUUUCUGGAAAUGCCCAUUAUAUUAUAUUAAGUGCUUAUUCAACCUCAGUUAAGCUCUGAUCAUGCACUAACUGCAAAUUUUGUUGCAAACCAGUGUGAGUUCCCUGAUGAUUAAAAGACUGAUAUUUCUUUUAUUAAUUAUCAUUUCUAGCAUGGAAGGCUGCAGUGUGAUUCCCUCUGCAGAUGCAGGUGCCAUCUAUAUGCUCCUGAAGAAGCAUCCCUGGCCUUGGAAAACUUAGAAAUCUAAACAGACAGUGCAGACAAAAGAACUACCAUUAUCUUCCUUUUCCAGAUGGGGAACUGAGGCACAGAGAGAUUAAGUGACUUGCCAACAUCUGUGGAAGAAUGGAGGAUUAAACCUUGAUCUCCUGAGUCCAAGUCUGGUGUUCAGUCAUCGGACCAGCCUUCCCGCUCCUGCUAAUGUGUUAUUGCUCUCAUCUGCUCAGUGGUUUUUCCUACCCACUCCUACCUAAUCCCUUUUCAAGGUAGCCCUUCAGGGACUGUUACUUAUGUGGGUCAGGGCUGGAUACAGCCAUGCCAGAGAGGGACACACUCUUUUGUCCUUUGGGCAGCACAGGCCCAGCUGGCAGGUGCCAUUGCUGGGUGGCAUCACAGGAGCAAGGACUUACAAAGUCAUUUCUACUUCCAGGCAGGAAAUCCUGCCAUGAAAUCACCGGGCAGCAGGGAAAGAGGAAGCUGAUUGCUGUGGCUCUGGCUGCAUCUGCAGUUCCCAUCCUAAUGAAGCCAAAGAGCCUGUUCAUGUAGGAAGAAGGAUUGUAAGACAAGAUGAAAAACAUCUUGAAAGAUGAAUAUUUGGAUCUCUGGGCUCUAUCAGUAUUUAUUUCUUGGGCUGCAAUACCACCUGCAGGCCCCAGACCAGGGCUGGACGCUGCAGAGAAAAGAGGAUCUUACAACCAAAGGGGGCAGGUCCCAGCCCUCAGGCUCCUUCCUGAUGGAUGGGUUGGGAUGAUGCCCUGCACACACCACUGGACAGACACACCCCAAGCUGCGUUGUCCAAACAACCCUGUAUGGAGGAGGCCUGCAAGGAAAAUAAGUCUGAAAACAAUCUUGGAGGCAAAAAAGCUGCAGGUCCUCCCAAGGAGCCAGGUCACGACGCUAUUUCCCUGUUUGCCACAGGUCAGAGCUCUGUGCUCCGCUGAGAGGGGCUGCCCCACUCCCCCAGCCCAUGUCCUGAGGGGGCUGAGGACGGGGGUGUCACCGCCAGGCCCUGUCCUCAAUGCCUGUCACCCCGAUUGCGGUGGGCGAGAGAUCACAGGCGAGCAGCGCGAUCUGCUCAGGAGGCAUCAGAUGGCGUCGGAGCAAGGGUAAUCCAGUUAUUUUUAGAGAAGUUUUUCCACUCGGCGAUCAUACACACUGCAGAUCACAGAAACACAUGCAAGCAUGAAAUUUCAUUUUUAAGAAUUCUUUUCCCGGGGCUUCCAUGUAAAGUGGCAGUGAAUGGGAAAAGCUACAAUCAUGACAAGACAAUUACCGAGGGUUUUUUUGCUAAGCAUGAAACUUAGGAAAAAGAAAAUGUUUAGGGAAAGGGAGAAGAAAAAAAAAAAACCAACUCACAAGAAAAGCCUUUUUUGUCCACUUGUCUUGUUCCACUGAAGCAGAAUCAGACAUCACAUCAUGUAAGUGAUUUUAAAAGAAAAAUUGGCUUUAAAGUACCUGAGAAAAAUAAGGAAAUGUUUGAGUUUGAACUGCUUUUCCUGGUUUGGCUCUUUUGGCGACACAGGGUGUAUGGAAAUGGGGAAACAGCCAGCACCCUCCUAAAUGCUGCAAAACACAUACACACACACUUGUGCUUUUAGUGUGAAAGGACUGGGAGACAUACAUUAGGAUUUGUGGGAUUAUGGUGAGAAAGCAGGAGUGAUAACUUUGAUGUUCUUUAAAAAAUAAAUAAAUAAAAGGGUGAAAAGAGAAAA